GACGAACGCUGGCGGCGCGCUUAACACAUGCAAGUCGAGCGAUGAAACUUUAACAUUGCCCUUCUGGGCGAAGCGACGGUGGAUUAGCGGCGGACUGGUGAGUAACACUUUAGUAACCUGCCUUAUACGUUGGGAUAGCCUCGGGAAACCGUGAUUAAUACCAAAUAAAAUCAUAAUGACACAUGUCAUAACUAUCACAACUCCGAUGGUCUAAGAUGGACUCGCGUCCCAUUCGCUAGUUGGUAGAGUAAAAGCCUACCAAUGCGACGAUGAGUAGCCGGGCUGAGAGAGUGAGCCGAGACACUGGAAGUGAGCAACGGUACAAAAUCCUACGGGAGGCAGCAGUGGGGAAUAUUGCAACAUGGCGGGAGUUAUGAUGCAGCUAGGACGCUAGAACGCAGAAGGUUUUCAAGACGUAAAGUGCUUGUAUAUGGGCAGAUAAUGACGGUACCAAAAGAAAAAGCCACGGCUAACUACGUG
rnacentral:rRNA from 1 species